GCAUCGGUGGUUUAAUGGUAAAAUUCAACGUUGCCAUCGUUGAGCUCCGGGUUCGAUUCCCGGCCGAUGCA
rfam:Hanseniaspora uvarum DSM 2768 Contig_7, whole genome shotgun sequence.